AUUGAACGCUGGCGGCAGGCCUAACACAUGCAAGUCGAGCGGAUGAAGGGUGUUUGCUUUUGGAUUGAGGGGCGGACGGGUGAGUAAUGCCUACGAAUCUGCCUUGUAGUGGGGGACCACGUCUGGAAACGGCCGCGACUACCGCAUACGUCGUGUGAUAGAACGGGGGGGAUCCUCCGACCUCACGCCAACAUAUGAGCCUAGGUCGGAUUAGCUAGUUGGUGGGAUAAAGGCCUACCAAGGCGACGAUCCGUAACUGGUCUGAGAGGAUGAUCCGUCACACUGGAACUGAGACACGGUCCAGACUCCUACGGGAGGCAGCAGUGGGGAAUAUUGGACAAUGGGCGAAAGCCUGAUCCAGCCAUGCCGCGUGUGUGAAGAAGGUCUUCGGAUUGUAAAGCACUUUAAGUUGGGAGGAAGGGCGGUAAGUUAAUACCUUGCUGUUUUGACGUUACCAACAGAAUAAGCACCGGCUAACUUCGUG
rnacentral:rRNA from 1 species